rnacentral:rRNA from 1 species
GUCUUAUUGAAAAUAAUUUUAAGUCAAUCUGCCCACUGAAAUUUUUAAAUGGCUGCAGUAUAAUUAACUGUACAAAGGUAGCAUAAUCAAUUGGUUUUUAAAUGAAAUCUAGAAUGAAAGGAUCAAUGAAAUAUAUACUGUCUCAUAUAUAUUUUAUGAAUUUAAAAUUUUAAUAAAAAUGUUAAAAUUUAUUUAUGGGACGAUAAGACCCUAUAGAAUUUUAUAUUAAUUUAUUUAUAUUAUUAAAAUGUAAUUUAAAUUAAUAUUUAAUUGGGAGGAUUAUUAAAUUUAAAAAACUUUAAUUUUCAUAAACUUAAAUUAAAGAAAAUUUUUUUGAUCUUGAAAUUUAAAUUAUUAGAAUAAAUUACCUUAGGGAUAACAGCGUUAUAUUUUUUUAUAGAUCUUAUAGAAAAAAAUGAUUGCGACCUCGAUGUUGAAUUAAGAUAAAUUUUAAAUGUAGAAGUUUAAUGAUUAAGUCUGUUCGACUUUUAAAAUCUUACAUGAUUUGAGUUCAAAUCGACGUAAGU